ACAACAAGGGAAUCAACAGGCGUAUUCGGGCGUAUUCGGCUUGAGACGUGGCCUGCAAGGUUAGCUUGACUGUUGGACAUGAGUUAUGGCUAGAAUGCAGUUUUUUUAAGGUUCGAUCUACCUCUGCCUUGUCCCUGUUUAGAAAGUGUUGUCCUCCAAGGAUUUCAUCUGACUAUUUGUUGACUGGGAUCUCAUCCGCUACCAGGCUCUGUCCAGAUGCAAACCCCUUGAUUUUGGAUUUUCCAGCCUUCAGAACUACCUUGUGACCAGCUACCAACUUGAAGAAUGGAUAAGAGUUUACUUAAGGGUGGGGGCACUAUCAGACUUGUUCUACA